rnacentral:rRNA from 1 species
CAUGCAAGUCGAACGAAGUGGCAAACGGGUGAGUAACACGUAAACAACCUGCCUUCAGGAUGGGGACAACAGACGGAAACGACUGCUAAUACCGAAUACCUGAAGAGGGGUUUGCGUCUGAUUAGGUAGUUGGUGAGGUAACGGCCCACCAAGCCGACGAUCAGUAGCCGGUCUGAGAGGAUGAACGGCCACACUGGAACUGAGACACGGUCCAGACUCCUACGGGAGGCAGCAGUGGGGAAUCUUCCGCAAUGGGCGAAAGCCUGACGGAGCAACGCCGCGUGAGUGAUGACGGCCUUCGGGUUGUAAAGCUCUGUGAUCGGGGACGCGGUACCCGAAUAGCAAGCCACGGCUAACUACGUGCCAGCAGCCGCGGUAAUACGUAGGUGGCAAGCGUUGUCCGGAAUUAUUGGGCGUAAAGCGCGCGCAGGCGGUUCUUAAGUCCAUCUUAAAAGUGCGGGGCUUAACCCCGUGAUGGGAUGGAAACUGUGAGCUGGAGUAUCGGAGAGGAAAGUGGAAUUCCUAGUGUAGCGGUGAAAUGCGUAGAGAUUAGGAAGAACACCGGUGGC